UUCUGGUUGAUCCUGCCGGAGGCUACCGCUAUUGGAGUUCGAUUAAGCCAUGCGAGUCGAGAGUCUUAGGGACUCGGCGUACCGCUCAGUAACACGUGGGUAACCUGCCCUAUGCUGGGGAAUAACCUCGGGAAACUGAGAAUAAUACCUCAUAGUCCACAAUGCCUGGAACGGUUUGUGGAUUAAAGCCCCGGCGGCAUAGGAUGGGCCUGCGGCGUAUCAGGUUGUGGGGGGUGUAACGUACCCUCUAGCCAUCAACGCGUACGGGUGUUGGGAGACAUAGCCCGGAGAUGGAUUCUGAGACACGAAUCCAGACCCUACGGGGUGCAGCAGGCGCGAAAACUUGGCAAUGCGAGAAAUCGUGACCAGGGAACUCCAAGUGGCUGGGGUAAGACCCAGUCUUUUCUUGACUCUUCAAAGGUCUUGGAAUAAGAGGUGGGUAAGGACGGUGCCAGCCGCCGCGGUAAUACCGGCGCCUCAAGUGGUAGUCGAUCUUAUUGGGCCUAAAACGUCCGUAGCCUGUUUGGUACAUUCGUGGGUAAAUCAACCAGCUUAACUGGUUGAAUUCUGCGAGCACGGCCAGACUUGGGACC
rnacentral:rRNA from 1 species